rnacentral:lncRNA from 1 species
UGACCUUUAAAUCAAUUUUUAUUAGAGAUGUUGACAUCUUGUAUUUUCUGACAACAGGCUGAUUGCCCACAGAUUGAUUAGACUGAAAGGCUUGACAAAUAACACAGAAACAAGGUGAAGCUGAAGAGCAUUUUGUUCUUUGUAGAAGCCUUUCCAUAUCAGUACUGUCCCAAGAGGGACCCAAACACACUAUAGCUCCUGACGAAGUUCUUAGACAUUCACAGUUCUCUUUACAAAGAUGAGGCUAUACACACGCUCCUCACCUAGUCUCACUGCAAAGGAAAGAACUUGACACUUCAGACAGCUACAACAAACAUACCUUCAGUAUCAUCCCAUUCCAGCUCUGAAGAGCACUCUUCAUUUCACUUCAUCCUGAGAGAACUAACCCACACAAGGUAUCAGAUUUAAGUGCAAGCUUAACAAGUUAGCAGCUGGGAAGUAACACCGAAGAACCACCUGGAACUCAUAGUAGCUACAAGCCAGAGUAGUGUGCAGCUGAUGCCAAAGCACUUCAUGAAAUUCAGCUGCUUUCUUCAUAAGGAAUUUACCAACUCAAACACUUUUACACACCACACAGAGCAAGUUCCUCCCCUAGAGGAAGGCCUACCAUACUUCUCAGGUGCCAGCAGUACUAUUUAUGCUGCUUUUUAACUCAAAACACUGAGAUUUUAGAAAGCUUCAUAAUAAAGGUGUUAGCUAUACCUACCCUGAAUGGGUUGGUCAGGAUGAAAACUCUUGAGUAUUAGGCUGUACUGGACCCAUGCACAUUAUUUACUCUGUACGCAGUUUCUUGAAUAUAGGUUCCAUGUUUUGAUCAAGUGAGAUGACAUUACAAAACUAGAACUACUCACCAUUAGCACCUUCAAACCAAUGCUUCACUGAGGUUUUGGACAUUUCUAAAAAGAACACCAUUCAUGCCGAAGAGCAACUGUUCAAUAUGGAUUUGUAUCACAGAAUAUAGUCCCCCUGCUGUCAUCAAACUUAAGGCUCAAGUUUCUUACAACUUGAGAAGCAAAUAAAAAACAAGGAAGUCUGAACAAAACAUGAACACGAAGUAUUCCAAAACCAAGGCGACCAUCUUGAGAAACCUGGGCAUCAGCAAACGCAAGCAGAUAAAAGAGUGAAGGGGGAAGAGUUGCUGCUUAAAUCUAUUUCACCUCCUUUUGCACCUGCCCAGAAUGCAGCCUCCGUUUACUGGCAGCAGCUCAUUCCUCAAAAUCCAGUUUGGAGAAAGCACAGCACCAAAGUUAGGAACAGUCCAAAUGCAGUUGGUACCACUCGGUCAAAAUGUUUACAUUGGUCUCAAUGAGGAAAGCUUGAAACUUCUUUAAACAAAGCAAGCCCUGAAAAGAGGAGACUGCCUCAGCAAGACUGCUCCUUCAGGGGCAGGUUUUAAUGUCAGACACUAAGCAGAGUAAAUGUCAGAAUGCUGACUUCACGCACACUGCAUGAUGAAAUAGAGGAUGGUGAGAAAUCCCCAGGAACACAGUAAGUGUUCCUAAGUCCUACUGUUUUUAUCGUGCUUACAUUUCUAAGCUCAGGGGUGUACUGACUGUUAAGCACGUUUACCGUUAUAUUUAAGAUUUCCUUUUUUUAAGGCAAACUCAGGGAAAAACCCAACCAAACAUGUGGAACAAAUAGGACAGGAAAGGGUUUCUUUCCUGGUGAAAAUUAAAUAGUGUGAAGUCUUUAAAGAUCAGUCACAGUAUUAUUUUUGUUAUCAAUUUAUGGAAUACAGACCACACUCAAGAUUAGACAGCAUUAAACUCUUGACUCUGAAAUAAUAUACUACAAACUCACCUGUUCCUUUCAUUCUGAGAUUCACUUUGGCCACUGCAGGGUGCAAAAUUGAACGUUUCUAAAAGUGUUCUGAAAACUUGUGUCAAAAUCUGAACUAGAAACUUGCAGACUGAUUCAUAUACACUGUACCUAUAAGUACGAAUAAUUACAUUACCUGCUGCCUGAGAACAGAAUCCUAAAAUGAUUUUCCUUCUACAGAGUACAAUUUCAAGAAUUAAAUAGUAUUUUUAAAUCCAAGCAUUCCCAUGGCCAAGGGCCAGAACAUUUCUCUGCUUAAAAUAUCAAGAUAAAACUACUACUUUUUAUUCCCGUGCUUCCCAAAUUAGAAGCACUGAGGGUAGCUGAGUAUCCAUCUCCAAACAGAAGGCAAGGCACACUCUUCUUAGUGCAGCUUGCGAAGGAGAGUCAGACUAUUGAGAACAAGCAGCUGUCUUAGCCCUAAAUAAUCCUGUAUUGUGGGAUGAACAAAACUCUUCAAGGCAGCAAUAUC